rnacentral:hammerhead_ribozyme from 1 species
AUUUAGCUGACGAGUCCCAAAUAGAACAAAACGCGCGUCCUGGAU